CUUCAGUCCAAGGUUUGACGCUCUAUUCACUGAGCAACACCGGUUAGGGCGGGACAGUCAGCAUUUUGAUGGAAGCCUCUCAAAGGUCAGGUGAGGUGUUGAACUCUGUCCCAACAGGCCCUGUGAUGGUGCCUGUUUCCCCAUCUGUGAAAAGGGGGGCAGUAAUGACUCGGGAUUGAGAGGGUUCCGCCGGAGGAGACAGAUGAGCCUGCGCUGUGGCCUCCUGGGGCCCCUCUGGCGUCUUCUGCCCCCCUCCACCCCGUGCCCCCUCUCUGGCCCCAGUUCCACACACUGACUGGCAGGUGCUGCAGAAAGGAGACGGAGCGGUGGAUCUGCAGCUGUGACUCCCUCGCUGGGCGCGUUGCUCUGGACGCAGGAACGGCUGCUUCUUACCAAGAUCAAUGGAAAAAUAUCCUCCGGUAAGGAUUAACAACAAACAGAAACAAAAAACAACGUCUCAGUGAGACUCCGUGGAGGAUGACACUAGACCUCAAAGGACUCUGACAGUGACAGCCAAUUCCUGCGCAAAAAUGAUCCUCUGCUGCCGCCCUGUGGACAUUCCAGGAAUAACAGCAUCCACUACCAGCUGUCAGAGGGAAAACCUAUGCUGUAUUGGAAGAAAUUUUUUUU